rnacentral:ncRNA from 1 species
AUGACAGAAACCUCGCAUAGAGUAAAAGGGCAAAAGCUGGCUUGAUCUCGAUAUUCAGUAAGCACAGAGACUGCGAAAACAUGGCCUAUCGACCUUUUGGCUUGAAGAGUUUUCAGCAAGAGGUGUCAGAAAAGUUACCACAGGGAUAACUGACUUGUGGCGGCCAAGCGUUCAUAGCAACGUCGCUUUUCGAUGCUUCGAUGUCGGCUCUUCCUAUCAUUACGAAGCAGAAUUCGCCAAGCGUCGGAUUGUUCACCCGCCAACAGGGAACGUGAGCUGGGUUUAGACCGUCGUAAGACAGGUUAGAUUUACCAUACUGAUGACUAGUCAUUGCGAUAGUAAUCCUGCUCAGUACGAGAGGAACCGCAGGUUCGGACAUUUGGUUCACGCACUCGGUCGAGCGGCCGGUGUUGCGAAGCUACCAUCCGUGGGAUUAUGCCUGAAUGUCUCUAAGGCCGUAUCCUCUCUAGUCAAAGGUGGCAAUGAUAUCUCUAGAAGUCUCGUGAGUCAAAAGGCUCAAAACAAUGUGACACUACUAGGCGGUCGGUUGCCCUUCGCGGGGCGGACCGAUCGUCGCACGAGCCCGGUAUGGCGAACGGCGCCAUCGUCCGUCGUCGGGAUCUCACCGCCUACGACGGCGCGUCUAACGGUCAAACAUGAGUUUCACGAGUUCAAGUCGAGACUCGGAAUCGUCUGUAGACGACUUAGGUAUCUGGCGGGGUGUUGUACUCAGUAGAGCAGUUACCACGCUGCGAUCUGUUGAGACUCAGCCCUCGGCUUGGGGAAUCAU